GAGUGUGUAGUUCAGUUGGUAGAGCAUUCGACUUUUAAUCGAAGGGUCGUGGGUUCAAAUCCCACCACACUCA
rnacentral:tRNA from 1 species